rnacentral:lncRNA from 1 species
AAGUUGCAAAAUAGAUUUCAUGCAAAUUGCACACUGAGCUUUUGGUAUAGGUGUCCCGGGGCUAAUAAUCUACGAAGAAAGGAGGGGGAAGGACAGAUCAACCAAAGAUCCUACUCCUCUUAGAAAGGCGAAUGAAUCAUUUUUCCUAUUUUUCAUUUUGUUUUAAGGCCCCAUCGACGAAAGAACAAAUUGGAAAAUAGUAAAUUUGAUGAAUAUUCAUUUUAUACGGUCUCAUCUUUAUCACACUCCUUUGUCUUCCAAGUAAAAAAUUGCUAUUAUUAUUUCUACUUUUCGAUGCGAGCUCACGAUAUAAUUAAAAAUCAAUAAAAUAAAAAGACACAACUAAAAGAAAUUUAUGCUAAGGAGUUAGAAAUCAAUGUAUGCACCCCAAACACAAAUGAACAAUCAAUGCAAAUUACUAUCGAAGCAUAUGUGCCUAAUCUUUUAUGACCAGAUAUAAUGCUAUGCAGUAGUAAAUAGUAACAAGGAAAUACUAUCCAUUGUACAAAGUAAAUGUGUCACUUUGUACCGUUAAUUAGAAGUCAAAUAUCAUGAAAAGAGAAAAAUCAAAUAACAAUUUCUUUUGUCAACGCUUAUGAUACAUAUAUAUAUUUGGAUUGUUUAUGUUUAGGGCUUUAGUUUUUCUCUUUGAAUUUGUAUUAUAGAGAUGUUGAUAUAUGACCUUUAUUAGGUAAACAAUUCGAUAAUCAAAAAUAUCAAAUACCAAAGAUAUUAAUAUCUUGAGCCAAAUCCCAACCCGAAGCCCUUGACAAGCUAGGAGAGUAAAUGAGAAUUAAGGAGUUUUCACAAAUAGUGGCAGUUUGGUGCAUAAUUACUAUACAUAACCAUACUUCUAAUAAUUACUAAAUAUAAUAACUCUUUAUAAAAUAAAUAACACACGAUACAGUGUAUUGGUGAUUUGUCAAGCAUGUAUCUAUAAUACAUGCAUAGUGAUUCAGGAGAAAAUCAAGCAAUAAUCUUUUAAAAUAACAAAAUCCAGUAAAACAUCCAUAUCUUCAGUGCAAAAAUAGAAAA